rnacentral:rRNA from 2 species
UUCCGGUUGAUCCCGCCGGACCUGACUGCUAUCGGAUUGAUACUAAGCCAUGCGAGUCUUUGCAGUAAUGCAAGGCAUACGGCUCAGUAACACGUAGUCAACUUACCCUAUGGACGAGGAUAAUCUCGGGAAACUGAGCAUAAUACUCGAUAGAUCAUAAUGCCUGGAAUGGUUUAUGGUUGAAAUGAUUCGUCGCCAUAGGAUAGGACCGCGGCCUAUCAGCUUGUUGGUGAGGUAAUGGCCCACCAAGGCGAUUACAGGUACGAGCUCUGAGAGGAGAAGCCCGGAGAUGGGUACUGAGACAAGGACCCAGGCCCUAUGGGGCGCAGCAGGCGAGAAAACUUUGCAAUGUGCGAAAGCACGACAAGGUUAAUCCGAGUGAUUUCUGCUAAAGAAAUCUUUUGCAAGUCAUAAAACCACUAGUGAAUAAGGGGUGGGCAAGUUCUGGUGUCAGCCGCCGCGGUAAAACCAGCACCUCAAGUGGUCAGGAGGAUUAUUGGGCCUAAAGCAUCCGUAGCCGGCUCUGUAAGUUUUCGGUUAAAUCUAUGCGCUCAACGUAUAGGCCGCCGAAAAUACUGCAGUGCUAGGAGGUGGGAGAGGUAGACGGUACUUGGUAGGAAGGGGUAAAAUCCUUUGAUCUAUCGAUGACCACCUGUGGCGAAGGCGGUCUACCAGAACACGUUCGACGGUGAGGGAUGAAAGCUGGGGGAGCAAACCGGAUUAGAUACCCGGGUAGUCCCAGCUGUAAACGAUGCAGACUCGAUGAUGCAUUGGCAUAUAGCCAGUGCAGUGUCGCAGGGAAGCCGUUAAGUCUG